GUCCCCGUUCAGAUUCACAUCUUGGUUUGCUGUAUAGCUUCUGACAACCACAAAACUCUGAAGCUUCUAACUGAUGAGCAGAAAUGAGAGCCUGUUGUGUUGUCUGAUGCAGAACAGUGACUCAGGGAAUGCUUGUUACCCAGUGAAUGAAGGAGCUAGAAACCAUAAAACACCAUCAACAAGAAGUGAGAUUGGAAAGUCAGCAGGGAAGUCACAGGA